rnacentral:misc_RNA from 1 species
GUAGGUGAACCUGCGGAAGGAUCAUUAAAUAUUUGGUGCAAAAGGAUGCUUCGGCACCUGCCAAAACAGUAGAAGGUGGCGGGGGGGGGGGUUGGGAGUUGUAGCCCACUUCUCGUCCCCCCCUCCACCGGGAAAAUUAUCCCCCAACUGUGCACCUAUUGAAAGGAACUCGGUCUUUUUUUUGGCCACCAGUAAAUAAUCUUAGUCUAAACGUUUGUCUGAUAUCUUUUACUUAUAACGAGUAAAAAAA